AACGAACGCUGGCGGCAUGCCUAACACAUGCAAGUCGAACGAUGCCUUCGGGCAUAGUGGCGCACGGGUGCGUAACGCGUGGGAAUCUGCCUUUCGGUUCGGAAUAACUCAGGGAAACUUGAGCUAAUACCGGAUAACGUCGCAAGACCAAAGAUUUAUCACCGAAAGAUGAGCCCGCGUAGGAUUAGCUAGUUGGUGAGGUAAAGGCUCACCAAGGCGACGAUCCUUAGCUGGUCUGAGAGGAUGAUCAGCCACACUGGGACUGAGACACGGCCCAGACUCCUACGGGAGGCAGCAGUGGGGAAUAGUGGACAAUGGGCGAAAGCCUGAUCCAGCAAUGCCGCGUGAGUGAGGAAGGCCUUAGGGUUGUAAAGCUCUUUUACCCGGGAAGAUAAUGACGGUACCGGGAGAAUAAGCCCCGGCUAACUCCGUGC
rnacentral:rRNA from 1 species